UACGUAGGGGGCAAGCGUUGUCCGGAAUCAUUGGGCGUAAAGAGCGCGUAGGCGGUCCAGUAAGUCCGCUCUGAAAGUCCGGGGCUCAACCCCGGGAGGCGGGCGGAUACUGUUGGGCUAGAGUCCGGAAGAGGCGAGUGGAAUUCCUGGUGUAGCGGUGAAAUGCGCAGAUAUCAGGAGGAACACCAAUGGCGAAGGCAGCUCGCUGGGACGGUACUGACGCUGGAGGCGCGAAAGCUAGGGGAGCAAACAGG
rnacentral:rRNA from 1 species